rnacentral:sRNA from 1 species
UCGAGCAGUUAUUGCCCCCCCUGCAGAAGA